rnacentral:misc_RNA from 1 species
AGAGCGCGGAACAGAUAUUGUUGUUGCAACUCCUGGUCGGCUUAAUGACAUCCUUGAAAUGAAAAGAAUUGACUUUAGACAGGUUUCUCUUCUCGUGCUAGAUGAGGCUGAUCGUAUGCUUGACAUGGGUUUUGAACCUCAGAUCCGCAAGAUUGUAAAUGAGAUACCCCCACAAAGACAAACACUUAUGUACACAGCAACUUGGCCCAAAGAAGUGCGAAAAAUAGCCGGUGAUCUUCUUCGAAAUCCUGUCCAGGUUAAUAUUGGUAAUGUUGAUCAGCUUGCAGCAAACAAGUCUAUCACACAGUACAUUGAAGUAGUCCCGCAAAUGGAGAAGCAGAGACGGUUGGAGCAGAUUCUUAGAUCCCAAGAAAGGGGUUCUAAAGCUAUUAUAUUCUGUUCCACAAAGAAGUUGUGCGACCAACUUGCACGAAGUAUUGGUCGAAACUUUGGAGCUGCAGCUAUUCAUGGAGACAAGUCCCAGGGUGAGAGAGACUGGGUUCUCAACCAAUUUCGCGCUGGCAAGACCCCAAUUUUAGUAGCAACGGAUGUUGCUGCUAGAGGACUGGAUAUACCUGAUAUAAGAGUGGUGAUCAACUAUGAUUUUCCGACUGGGAUUGAG